GAUUUAAACCCAGCUCUAAAUUUGCUGGUGCUCACAGAGGCCUUUUAUUGGGGGGUGGGGGGUGUUCCCCUAAAAUAGCUUUUCCUAAUGAGUACAACCCCCCCAAAAAAACGCUGCGGAGCGGGACCGAAAGCCGCGGGUUUUCAGCAAAUCCACCCUCGCUCCCAGCUCUCGCAGGGCGCGAUAACACCGGAGCCCUCUGAAAGUUUGAGAAAAAAGAGGAGGAGAAAUAGGGAGCGAGGAAAUAAAGACACCACCUAAAGAAGAGCGAGGAGACGGUGCAGGAGUGGAGGAUGCCAAGGGGAAAGAAGGGCUCGAAUCUCUGCAGGAAAAAGCUCCCCUGGAGCCCGGGUGGGACCUGCGGAGACGAGCCCGGGUCCCCCCGCAGGCUGCGGGCACAGGAGCCACCAACCUCCCCACUGCGGGUGCCCGAGGAACCACUGUUCAUGACAAUGUCUAUUUUCUGUCAUUAAUAACUCGUUUCUUCCUUAAAAAAAAAAAAAAUCUCGUUUGGAUCCAAGAUUGUUUUUAUGAUUCAGUCGGACAAGACGGAACACAUGUUAGUUUAAGCAGGUUCAUGAAAUAGCUGUAAAUCAAAUAAAGUUUACGAGUUUAGCAGGAAAUACUGAAAAGAUGAGGGGGAGGGAAAAAAAAAUCCGCCGAGGCAGAGAGCAGCAGGCUGAAAUAGUCGGUGGAGUUUUGUCCUGCUCUGUGUUUCUCUCUGUUCUCUUGUGCAUCUUGCCGAUUAAAGGCCUCGAGACCCCGUGUUGGCGCCAAGUGGCAUGUUAUUAAUCAGUUAUCCCGAGGUUCAGUCCACAGAAGAGAGAAAUUUAAUCACCAGAAACCAGACCCGACAUAAAAGAGAAAUCUAAAAUCAAUUCCCUCCCGUCGUCCCGUCUCCCCCUCCCCUUCCCCACCUCCGAAGC